rnacentral:rRNA from 1 species
AGGACGAACGCUGGCGGCGUGCUUAACACAUGCAAGUCGAACGAGAUCCAUUCAGUAGCAAUACUGUUGAAGAUCUAGUGGCGAACGGGUGAGUAACACGUGAGCAACCUGCCCCGAAGACUGGGAUAACAGCGGGAAACCGCUGCUAAUACCGGAUAUCCCCAUCGGACCACAUGGCCUGAUGAGGAAAUGCCUGGUUCACUUAGAAUCAGCACGCUUCGGGAGGGGCUCGCGGCCUAUCAGCUUGUUGGUGAGAGACCGCCACGAGCGACGG